AUGCAUCAUGUGCUCAAGAAGCGCCGGAUGCGGUCGCAUGCGAAAGGGACAUUGGUUCUCAGAGUAUACAUCAUCACUUCACACCCUUUUGGACCGAUAGGUAGUAGUUUGAAUAGCCAAGAAAGCAUAUUACAAGAUCAGAGUUCAAAACCGUGCAGUAUGCCACUACAAUAUUUGAAAGAGAUCACAAAUAACUUCUCUCGUGAGCGAAUACUUGGCCAAGGUGGUGCUGGCGUAGUAUACAAGGGAGUGCAGCAAAAUGGGGACAUGAUUGCUGUGAAGAAGAUUGUAUCAACAUUGAUGCCAGGCCUGCAGGAGCAGUUUGAGAAUGAAGUUUAUCAUCUUAUGACGCUUAAACACCCCAAUAUAGUGCGAUGUGUAGGCUACUGCUAUGAAAUACAGAAUGUAUGUUUAGAGUACAAUGGGAAAUAUGUUUUUGCAGAGCAGGCGGAAAGGUUGAUUUGCUUGGAAUAUUUGCCAAAAGGAAGCCUUAAUAGCCAUUUAUCAGAUGAAUCUUCUGGGCUUGAUUGGAGCACACGCUACAAAAUAAUCAAGGGGGUUUGCAAUGGUUUACGUCACCUUCAUGAGCAAAUUGAUAAGCCUAUGUUACACCUGGAUCUAAAACCUGACAACAUAUUGCUAGAUAAUAGUAUGGAGCCAAAAAUUACAGACUUCGGUCUGUCAAGAGUGCUUGAUCAACCACAAACUAUCCGCACUACAUCUCGCGAUGGAACAUUUGGUUACAUGGCACCAGAAUUUCUACAUGGAGGUACAAUUACACUAAAGUCGGACAUAUUUAGUUUGGGUGUGAUAAUCUUGGAGAUAAUAACAGGACGCAGGGAGUACCCGGACAUUGGAACAUCCUCAAAUGACUUUAUCGAGCUUGGACUUAAAAAAUGGAGAAAUGCCUUACCUAGAGCACUUGGAUAUAGAUCCCUCGAAAUAAAGUGCCAACAAAUAAAAACAUGCAUUCAGGUAGGUCUAAUAUGUGUGAAUCCUGAGCGCACAAAAAGGCCUUCGAUAACGGAAAUUAUAAAUAUGCUUCAAAGACCAAAAGACAUUAAUUGCAACAUUGGCUAUGAGGCGACAAUACCAGGAUAUUCUGGAAGUACUGAUACAGCAUUAUUGAUUGGUUCUGAUAUGUUGAAAAAUUUGCCAAAUAUAAGUCAUUGGGAGGUUGAAUCAGCAUGCGAAGAUUUUACUCACAUUGUUAGCUCAACUACACUCACGGAAAGGCUGCCAAUAUCCGACAUGGCAGUAUUGAUUGAUUCUGGUAUGCCGAAAAGCCUUCCAAAGCUAAGUCACCAGGAGGUCCAAGUAGCCUCUGAAGAAUUUACCAACAUUAUUGGCUCAACUCCAGGGACUUGUCUAGCACAACCAAAUGCAGAACAAGGUUCAGCAUCAUAUCAGAAGGGCGGCAUUGCAUUUCCAGGGCCCCACACUCAAACUAUAAGUAACCAACACAAAACUACACGUCGGUCGAAAUGGGCAAACUUCAUACGAGAAUCUGAGCUAAACCCAGCCCGCCCGCUUGCCCAAUUUAGCAACCAAUGUAUAAGUGGAGCCAAGAAUGUGGAGAAGAUGGCACGCAAGAGAUCAGUUUUAGCGCUGACGAAAAUCAACAGCAGGAUGAGGUAA
rnacentral:rRNA from 1 species